GUGGGGAAUAUUGCACAAUGGGGGAAACCCUGAUGCAGCGAUGCCGCGUGGAGGAAGAAGGUUUUCGGAUUGUAAACUCCUGUCUUAAAGGACGAUAAUGACGGUACUUUAGGAGGAAGCUCCGGCUAACUACGUGCCAGCAGCCGCGGUAAUACGUAGGGAGCGAGCGUUGUCCGGAAUUACUGGGUGUAAAGGGAGCGUAGGCGGGAGUGCAAGUCAGGUGUGAAAACUAUGGGCUCAACCCAUAGACUGCACUUGAAACUGCAUUUCUUGAGUGAAGUAGAGGUGAGCGGAAUUCCUGGUGUAGCGGUGAAAUGCGUAGAUAUCAGGAGGAACACCGGUGGCGAAGGCGGCUUACUGGGCUUUUACUGACGCUGAGGCUCGAAAGCGUGGGGAGCAAACAGG
rnacentral:rRNA from 1 species